rnacentral:rRNA from 1 species
AAUCAACGCUGGCGGCGUGCCUCAGACAUGCAAGUCGAACGCGAAAGUUUCCUUCGGGAGACAAGUAGAGUGGCGCACGGGUGAGUAACACGUAGGUAAUCUACCUUUGGAUGGGGAAUAACAACCGGAAAUGGUUGCUAAUACCGCAUAAUGCAGCGGCACCUAAUGGUGACAGUUGUUAAAAGCGGGGGGAUCGAAAGACCUCGCGUCUGAAGAGGAGCCUGCGGCGGAUUAGCUAGUUGGUAAGGUAAUGGCUUACCAAGGCUACGAUCCGUAACCGGCCUGAGAGGGCGGUCGGUCACACUGACACUGACAUACGGGUCAGACUCCUACGGGAGGCAGCAGUCGGGAAUUUUGGGCAAUGGGCGAAAGCCUGACCCAGCAACGCCGCGUGAAGGAUGAAAUCCCUCGGGAUGUAAACUUCGCAAGAACGGGAAGAA